AGCAGCCGCGGUAAUUCCAGCUCCAAUAGCGUAUAUUAAAGUUGUUGCAGUUAAAAAGCUCGUAGUUGAAUUUCGGGAUCAAUACGUCGGUCGUGCUUCGGUACGUACUGGCGUAAUUGAUUUCUCCCUUCUGACGAACCAUGAUGUCAUUAACUUGGUGUCAUGGGAAAUCAGGACUGUUACUUUGAAAAAAUUAGAGUGUUUAAAGCAGGCUCACGCUUGAAUACAUUAGCAUGGAAUAAUGAAAUAGGACGUUCGAUCCUAUUUUGUUGGUUUUUAGGAUCAACGUAAUGAUUAAUAGGGAUAGUUGGGGGCAUUAGUAUUCAAUUGUCAGAGGUGAAAUUCUUGGAUUUAUUGAAGACUAACUACUGCGAAAGCAUUUGCCAAGGAUGUUUUCAUUAAUCAAGAACGAAAGUUAGGGGAUCGAAGACGAUCAGAUACCGUCGUAGUCUUAACCAUAAACUAUGCCGACUAGGGAUCGGAUGAUGUUAAUUUUUAAUGUACUCAUUC
rnacentral:rRNA from 1 species